GUACACAGGUGGUGCAUGGCUGUCGUCAGCUCGUGUCGUGAGAUGUUGGGUUAAGUCCCGCAACGAGCGCAACUCUCGUCCUAUGUUGCCAGCACGUAAUGGUGGGGACUCGUAGGAGACUGCCGGGGUCAACUCGGAGGAAGGUGGGGACGACGUCAAGUCAUCAUGCCCCUUAUAUCCAGGGCUGCAAACAUGCUACAAUGGCCGGUACAAAGGGCAGCGAAACCGCGAGGUCGAGCGAAUCCCACAAAGCCGGUCUCAGUUCGGAUUGGAGUCUGCAACUCGACUCCAUGAAGCUGGAGUCGCUAGUAAUCCCGGAUCAGCAACGCCGGGGUGAAUACGUUCCCGGGCCUUGUACACACCGCCCGUCACACCACGAAAGUCGGCAACACCCGAAGUCUGUGGCCUAACCCUCUGGGAAGGAGCAGCCGAAGGUGGGGUUGGCGAUUGGGGUGAAGUCGUAACAAGGUAGCCGUACCGGAAGGUGCGGCUGGAUCACCUCCUUUCUAAGGAGCUCCUCUCGAUGGACCGGCCCGAAUGUGGCCGGCGACUCGAGUAGGUUCCCAGUUAGGCACUCGUUACUCGUCCAGAUCCUUCACGAAACGCCCCCGUUCUUCGGAACCGCAGCUGAGUAGGAACGAUCUGGCCGGUGUCCGUCUCUUCCGCUUUGAGGGAGCAAUCCCUUCGCAACCGCUGCCCUCGGCCUCGAGCCGGGGGCAUUGUUGCGUUCGGCUUCUUGAGAAUUGCAUAGCGAGCACGAGCAUCUAAGCCGGUGUCUUCGGACAUCGGUUUCGAUACCAAUAUCAAUUUCGUAAUGAAAUAAAUGAAUGUAGAUAACCCAAGCUACUAAGAGCCAACGGUGGAUGCCUUGGCACUGACUACCGAUGAAGGUCGUGAGAGGCUGCGAUAAGC
rnacentral:sRNA from 1 species